rnacentral:tRNA from 1 species
CAUUAGGUGACUGAGAUUGUAGGUGGUGAUUUUUUAAAUCAUAGAUAAUAUUUUAACGAAAUAUUUCUAAUGA